UACGAAGGGAGCUAGCGUUGUUCGGAAUUACUGGGCGUAAAGGGCGCGUAGGCGGUUUGACAAGUCAGGCGUGAAAGCCCCGGGCUCAACUCGGGAAUAGCGCUUGAGACUGUCUUUCUAAGAGUUCGGGAGAGGUAAGUGGAAUUUCCAAUGUAGCAGUGAAAUGCGUAGAUAUUGGAAGGAACACCAGUGGCGAAGGCGGCUUACUGGACCGAUACUGACGCUGAGGCGCGAAAGCGUGGGGAGCAAACAGG
rnacentral:rRNA from 1 species